AAUCACAAAUAAGUCACCUCUGCACUUAUUGUUGAACUAGCAAUGUGAACACAAUUUGAAGUCAUCAUUUCUUGAAUUCAAAAUGCUUUAAAUCCAUUGAUAAAGAGUAUUCGCACAUACAGUAGUACAAACUAGAAUGAGAGAGAGUUUACAAAGAAACUUAACAGAUUUACCAUUACAUUGAAAGGCUUAAAUUAACUUCUCUUAACAGGAUCAAAGUUGGAAACACCAACAAUAGCUCCAAUAAUGGCAGUAAGCACAACCCCACCUGACACUAUGCUGAGCAAGAAGUUCUUCAAAGAUGGUGAAAGUCCUUCAGCAGCCUGAGCUACAUCUGGAACCACCAUUGAAGCUGUCAAAGCAGCUGCUGUUAGCCCAGUAAUUGCCUUCUCCUUCAAUGAAGCUGAUAUUUCAAGCUUUGAUUUUGAGACUUUGUUCACAAACACUGCCUUUGAUGGAUUCAC
rnacentral:lncRNA from 1 species